rnacentral:rRNA from 1 species
CCAGCUCCAAUAGCGUAUAUUAAAGUUGUUGCAGUUAAAAAGCUCGUAGUUGGAUUUCAAGAGUGGCAACCAGCGAUGGUGUGCCUUCUACCAGUCUUAGACUGUUACUGUGAGAAAAUUAGAGUGUUUCAAGCAGGCAAUUGCAGGAAUACAUUAGCAUGGAAUAACGAAUGUGUCUACAAUUUGGUUGAUUGUAGAUUUCAAUUAAUAGGGACAGUUGGGGGCAUUAGUAUUUAAUUGUCAGAGGUGAAAUUCUUGGAUUAGUUAAAGACUAACGUAUGCGAAAGCAUUUGCCAAGGAUGUUUUCA